ensembl:miRNA
UGGCAUUGUGGGAUAGAAGCUCAGUAUCAGCUGGUUCUGUGACUGUCUCUCUCUAUCAGCUACAGUGCCUG